CUCACGUUGGUGUGAGCCUUGGGUCACCGGAGGGCUCCCCUGAUGGUGCUGAGUUUGCCCCCACACUGGGGAUGACUGGCAGUUGGCUGAUGUGGGAUGGCAAACCCAGGGGCCCUGAGGAAGCUCAGCUGCAUGCUUCCGAGCCUUGUAGACUUACCUGAUGGUUGUCAUCCACAAGCCCGCUCACGGAACAAGGUGAAAUGACACUACUAUUGGAAAGAAUUAAGUUGUGAUAACGUCACGAUGAUGAAGACAGAGCAAUACCAAAACUACAUCAAUAAAGACAAC